rnacentral:piRNA from 1 species
UUGCAUAAACGCUCCUCUAGCCUCGUGGA